ensembl:snoRNA
AGCUCUUGUGUGCAUCUUUGAUUACUUUGUCUCAAAGACUUACAAACAGGUACAAAAAUUAAAUCUCCUUUGUAACCAAGAACUCAUUCAGUUUUGAUACCUGUAAGAAGGAAUAAA